ensembl:lncRNA
AACUCAAUACAGAAAUGAUGGUAAAGGGAGUAAAAAUGUGAACUGGGUCAAUCCAGAACUGGAGGACAUUUUAUGUCCCACCCAUCAAAGUCAAAUAAUCCAUGUGCAUGUACUAAAACAUGGAGUUGUUGUGUAAAUUCACUUGUCCUGAGACUAAAUCUAAAAAAAACAGGAAAAAAAUGUUUGAAAAUAUUUUUUAAAAUACCAGAUAAGUCUGGAGUUCCCCCUAAAAUACCAUUUUUCUCCCCUGAUGACCAAAUUGAAUCUCAAAUAAAACUGUUAAAAUUAAACCUAAACCUCCGUUUUUUUGUUUUUUUUUUAUUGAUGUCUCUUGUAAUUGUGGCAACAUUUUUUUAAUCAACAUAUUAUUUUAAAUAAUAAUUACUAUGCAUGUGGGUCCGUGUAUAUUUUGGCAAUUGGAUUUUCCGUUCUGAAACGGGUAUUGAAAAACAAACGAGUGGUUAUUUGAUUUUCGUUUUAAAAUACAAAAAUUUAAAUUGAAAUACAAGGCAUCUUUCCUUUUCAUGAUCAAAAACGGAUAUAUGAAAUUUUAAAAAUGCUUUGAUUUUCAUUUUAUAUUUAGAAUAACAAAAAAGUAAAACCAGUAAGCGACGGAAAUAAAAAAGGUCCGUUUUUUCAUUUUCUGAGACCGGAAGUGGUCAUCAGCAAGUGUGGAGCCAAACAGAGUACGGUGCAUAGACUGUAUAUACAUAUUUUUUCUUGAGUUUUCAUGGUCAGAAUGAGAGAUCAGGUGGCCGAUCUUAAAAUAAAUCAAUAUUGAUUUUUUUAUAGAGCGUUAAAGUUUUGCGAAGCCAGGGGGCGGGACUACUUGAUUGACAGUCCGGUCUGGAAAGCUUGACAGGUCCUAUGGAGGAGGCAGCAGAGACUCUGUUCUCCUCGUUUGGAUUAAUUCUGAUAUAAUAACUGUUGGUUUAUUUAUCGGUGGAGCAGCAGAACCUUUUCCACAGACAGUUUACCUUCUCGUUGGCUUGUUUUAACCAGUUUUCUGCCUUCAGUUGAUUCUACCAGCAGACACUGAAAGGACUCUGAUAGUUCCAGUGAAAGUAGCAGUUCCUCCAGAACUGGUCAGAGAUUGCAGCAUCUGAGGGCCUCUUCAAAAGAAGACGUAGUUGAUGAAGGCGUUCUGGAGCAGGACCAGAAAGACCACGACCAAGCAGCCUUGAGAUCUUAGGCAGCGUCUCCCUCAGGUCCCUCUCUAUCUCCCCACACAUCCACCAACCACUGGACCACAUCUCCAAAGUUCUGCCGGGCCAGCUCAGCUUCCCCUCAGGAGAAGUGCCGCCACCUGCCAGAUGAAGGAGCCUUUUGAGAGGCAGCUGGCAUCGUGAUUGGACUGUACUUUGGUCUGUUCCAAUCCAGCUUCAGCUCCAGAGACGGCAGGCGGGACGAGUCAACGGAGGCCGGGUGGACGAAGACCAAAGAACUACAGACUCUUCACAACCUGCUCAAACUCUUGGUACAGGACCUCACCACACGGGUCAAGAAGGUUUCUGUCUCAUUUCUACUCUGAAGCUCACCUUCUCCUGCUCAAACUGCUGACAAAUGCUUCUGCUGCUCUAAAGUCUGGUCUCCAGAACUUUCUAAAAACUCUAAGUCUCUUCUGCUGCAG